CCCCUCCCAUUCUUGGAGACUCUUUCCUGUCGGACUCAGAGGUCUGAGGGAGGCAGGUCAAGUGCUGUGUGGCUAGGACCCAUGGCUAUGAACUUGCAGGAAAAUGUGACCUUGGCCAUGGCCGUGUUAACCAUCCUAGCCUCCAUCUACUUCUUCAACAAGGCUCAGCAGUAAGAAGGCAUGGCUCCCCAGUCCACCAGCUUGGCCCCCGCCUGCUCUGCCAUUGCUCUGGCCUCUAAGAUCCAAUAAAUGUUAACAGCACCAGACCAAGGCUUCCUGCUCCCUAAGCUCUGCUCCCUACAACCCUGUUCCUCAUAGGUCCACACAACCAUGGAUCUCAGCAGGAAGGUGAAAAGUAGAGACCUGGCCCCUAGAUCUGAGGGAGGAGGCUUGGGACCUGUUGCUCCAAAUCUCUUGCUCAGGAUUUCAGGCUUGUCUCUCUGAGCACUCCUUCCCAGCAAAGGUGCAAAUCUGUUUAAAGGAAGGCCACGCUAAGGACUGCCAGAGAUCAACGGUGUGGGCAGAUGUUGUGACUCAAACUCCUAUUGAACCGUUAUCACCUGCCAUCAAAUCCCUAUCUGAUAGAAGUGUCCAGAACCCCAAAUAGAGGGAAUCUGUUAGCAGCGCACUCCAUCACCUUCCUGCCUCCUCCAACCUUCCCAAGGGAGUGAGUGCCCUGAGGGACAGACACACCUGCCCAAGAAAGUUCAUUUGUAUGCUCUGGGUCUUCUGGACAAGGACUAGAAAUUUCCAAUCACGAACAUAUUCGCAAAUCCUUGUAGUUCAGAUCCGUGCAAUUUUAGUGGGUCACAAGCAAAUUGAGAUCAAGCAGAACUAGCGGUCGUGCUCUCGAUGAGAGCCAGUAACAGCAUCCUUUGUCCUCCAAUGCAAGGAUUCCUUGUGCGCAAAACCAGAAAUAGCCGUAAGGUGGCGAUGUCAGACUAUUUUCCCAGAUUCUAAUUGGCAACAGGGAUUGACUUUGCAGGAGACUGAGCCUCCUGCUGACCUCUCUCCCAGGUAUUUUCCCAAGCCUCCACCCCUUCCUGUAAGUUCUUGGCCUCUCCCUGCACCUCCUUGCCCACAGGGCCCCCACCAGGCUGUAUCCUUAGCCCCGUAACUCAAAAAAAAAAAAAAAAAAAAAAAAAAAAAAACCAAAAAACGGUUGAGCAGCCACACCCCAACGGCUUUUCACCUUCCGUGCCCCAACACACUCCAAGAGGCCUGAGGUGCCUUUGCAACCUCAGUUUUGCGAGUCCUCCUUGGAAAACUUCCGGAGCAUUCCUUCUUGUCUCACCCCCUCCCUUAACUCCCCAGGUGGGCUUGGCUGUCAGCGGUUUUUCAACCACUGAACCAAGUCAACCUUUGCGUCCUCCACAUCCCUCCUUCCCCUAGGGCUUGACCAUUUAUGAGGUUUCUGAGUCCUCAGGGAGCUAUCAACUUGGCAUUUUCUCAACCGCAAUCCAGUGGAGAUGGAUGUGUCUCAAGCCGACGCUGUGUAGAGCCACUGAGGGCUUCGUCAAUUCCCACCACUGAGCUUGGGGUGGGGCGCAGCAUCGAUUCUGCUCUGAAUGUUCCCCAGGGUACUAUGAAUGGGCAGCUGGGGUUCUGAGGCCGCUCCUUACCGGGAGGAAGCUGAGCGCUUCCAAGGGGUAACUCUGCUGCCUGGGAAAUCUUUCAGAGACCUCCACUCAGACAGAGAUGGGACUUUUUUUUAAAUUAUCACUAUGCUUUUUUUUUAGCAAAUAUUUAUUAUGUGCCAGGAUUAUAUUAUGUG
rnacentral:lncRNA from 1 species